rnacentral:rRNA from 1 species
CCUGGGAACUGCGUUNUGAACUGGGUGACUAGAGUGUGUCAGAGGGAGGUAGAAUUCCACGUGUAGCAGUGAAAUGCGUAGAGAUGUGGAGGAAUACCGAUGGCGAAGGCANCCUUCUGGGAUAACACUGACGUUCAUGCCCGAAAGCGUGGGUAGCAAACAGGAUUAGAUACCCUGGUAGUCCACGCCCUAAACGAUGUCGAUUAGCUGUUGGGCAGCAUGACUGCUUAGUAGCGAAGCUAACGCGUGAAAUCGACCGCCUGGGGAGUACGGUCGCAAGAUUAAAACUCAAAGGAAUUGACGGGGACCCGCACAAGCGGUGGAUGAUGUGGAUUAAUUCGAUGCAACGCGAAGAACCUUACCUGGUCUUGACAUGUACGGAACCCUCCAGAGACGGAGGGGUGCCUUCGGGAGCCGUAACACAGGUGCUGCAUGGCUGUCGUCAGCUCGUGUCGUGAGAUGUUGGGUUAAGUCCCGCAACGAGCGCAACCCUUGUCAUUAGUUGCCAUCAUUAAGUUGGGCACUCUAAUGAGACUGCCGGUGACAAGCCGGAGGAAGGUGGGGAUGACGUCAAGUCCUCAUGGCCCUUAUGACCAGGGCUUCACACGUCAUACAAUGGUCGGUACAGAGGGUAGCCAAGCCGCGAGGCGGAGCCAAUCUCACAAAACCGAUCGUAGUCCGGAUUGCACUCUGCAACUCGAGUGCAUGAAGUCGGAAUCGCUAGUAAUCGCAGGUCAGCAUACUGCGGUGAAUACGUUCCCGGGUCUUGUACAC